rnacentral:rRNA from 1 species
AUUGAACGCUGGCGGAAUGCUUUACACAUGCAAGUCGAGCGGCAGCGCGGCCUUCGGGCUGGCGGCGAGCGGCGAACGGGUGAGUAAUGCAUCGGAACAUGCCCAGUCGUGGGGGAUAACACUUCGAAAGAAGUGCUAAUACCGCAUACGUCCUGAGGGGGAAAGCGGGGGAUCGCAAGACCUCGCGCGAUUGGAGUGGCCGAUGUCAGAUUAGCUAGUUGGUGGGGUAAAGGCCUACCAAGGCGACGAUCUGUAGCUGGUCUGAGAGGAUGAUCAGCCACACCGGGACUGAGACACGGCCCAGACUCCUACGGGAGGCAGCAGUGGGGAAUUUUGGACAAAGGGGGCAACCCUGAUCCAGCCAUUCCGCGUGAGUGAAGAAGGCCUUCGGGUUGUAAAGCUCUUUCGGCAGGAACGAAACGGUGGGCUCUAACAUAGUCCGCUAAUGACGGUACCUGAAGAAGAAGCACCGGCUAACUACGUG